rnacentral:rRNA from 1 species
AUUGAACGCUGGCGGCAGGCCUAACACAUGCAAGUCGAGCGAGAGGCGGACGGGUGAGUAAUGUCUGGGAAACUGCCUGAUGGAGGGGGAUAACUACUGGAAACGGUAGCUAAUACCGCAUACCAUCAGAUGUGCCAAGAUGGGAUGAGCUAGUCGGUGGGGUAACGGCUCACCUAGGCGAAGAUCCCUAGCUGGUCUGAGAGGAUGACCAGCCACCGUGGAAAGGGGACACUGUCCAGACGCCGACGUGAGGCAGCGGUGGGGAAUAUUGCACAAUGGGCGCAAGCCUAAUUCAGCCAUGCCGCGUGUGUGAAGAAGGCCUUCGGGUUGUAAAGCACUUUCAGCGGGGAGGCGUUACCCGCAGAAGAAGCACCGGCUAACUCCGUGCCAGCAGCCGCGGUAAUAC